rnacentral:rRNA from 1 species
CCAGUAGUCAUAUGCUUGUCUCAAAGAUUAAGCCAUGCAUGUCUAAGUACAUGCCGUAUUAAGGCGAAACCGCGAAUGGCUCAUUAAAUCAGUUAUGGUUCCUUGGAUCGUACCUUACUACUUGGAUAACUGUGGUAAUUCUAGAGCUAAUACAUGCAGCAGAGCUCCGACCUUCGGGAACGAGCGCUUUUAUUAGAACAAAACCGACCGGACUCUGUCCGUACUUUGUGGUGACUCUGAAUAACUUUGGGCUGAUCGCACGGGCCCGUCCCGGCGACGUAUCUUUCAAGUGUCUGCCUUAUCAACUUUCGAUGGUAGGUUACGCGCCUACCAUGGUCGUAACGGGUAACGGGGAAUCAGGGUUCGAUUCCGGAGAGGGAGCCUGAGAAACGGCUACCACAUCCAAGGAAGGCAGCAGGCGCGCAAAUUACCCACUCCCAGAACGGGGAGGUAGUGACGAAAAAUAACAAUACGGGACUCUUUUGAGACCCCGUAAUUGGAAUGAGUACACUCUAAAUCCUUUAACGAGGAUCCAUUGGAGGGCAAGUCUGGUGCCAGCCGCCGCGGUAACUCCAGCUCCAAUAGCGUAUAUUAAAGUUGUUGCGGUUAAAAAGCUCGUAGUUGGAUCUCAGUUCCAGACGGGUGGUCCGCCUACCGGUGGUUACUGCCUGUUCUGAACAGCCAGCCGGUUUCUCUUGAUGAUCUUCACCGGUUGUCUUGGGUGACCGGCAAGUUUACUUUGAAAAAAUUAGAGUGCUCAAAGCAGGCGCGACGCCUGAAUAAUGGUGCAUGGAAUAAUGGAAUAGGACCUCGGUUCUAUUUUGUUGGUUUUCGGAACACGAGGUAAUGAUUAAGAGGGACAGACGGGGGCAUUCGUAUUGCGACGCUAGAGGUGAAAUUCUUGGACCGUCGCAGGACGAACUACU